CAGCAGCCGCGGGAAUACGAGGGGGGCAAGCGUUGUUCGGAAUUAUUGGGCGUAAAGGGUGCGUAGGCGGUUUGAUAAGUCUUGUAUGAAAUCUCUGGGCUCAACCCAGAGUCUGCACAGGAAACUGUCGGGCUUGAGUAUUGGAGAGGUGAGUGGAAUUUCCGGUGUAGCGGUGAAAUGCGUAGAUAUCGGGAGGAACAUCAGUGGCGAAGGCGGCCAUCUGGGACAACACUGACGCUGAGGCACGAAAGCGUGGGGAGCAAACAGGAUUAGAUACCCGUGUAGUCCCUGUCUCUUAUAC
rnacentral:rRNA from 1 species